AAAAACCCCACCGAGGGAAGGAAAACUACAAAGGCACGCCUGUUGCACCAUGGCUUUCCAUUGGUGUGACAACAAUCUUCAUACCACCGUGUUUACUCCUCGUGACUUCCAAGUGGAGCUGCUGGCGGCUGCCUUCGAACGGAACACUAUCAUUUGCUUAGGCCACAAGUCUUCCAAGGAGUUCAUUGCUCUAAAGCUUAUACAGGAGCUGGCACGAUGUGGACGCCGCAGUAACAAAGUUAGCAUUUAUUUGAGCAGUCAUGUGGGGGUCAGUGGGCCGGCAGCUGCAGAAAGCAGCUCCAUGUACACAAUGCUCACUCAUCUCACAGAUCUCAAAGUGUGGCAGGAGCAGUCAAAUCAACAAACACCGUUUGGACAUUGCUGGUCAGAUUAUCAUGUGAGCAUAAUACGACCACAGACAUUUCUCGACCUGCUCCGGUGUGGUGAGCUGCCAAUUUCACGAGUCCAGCUUGUUGUGCUAGAGGAUUGCCAUGAAAGCGCUGUUUACCGCGACAUUUUGCCCAUUUUUGAAGAGCACAUCCAUCAGGCCGAUGAUGAGCAUAGGCCGAGAAUAUUGGGCCUAGCGGGACCGCUACAUAGCGCUGGCUGCGAGCUGCAUGAACUGAGUGCUAUGCUAAACACGUUGGAGCAGAAGGUACUGAGUCGGACCGAGACGGCCAGCGAUAUAGUAACAGUAUUGCGUUACUGCGCCAAGCCAUACGAAUACAUUGUGCAAUGUGCGCCCUUUGCCAUGGACGAGCUGUCCUGUGUGCUGACUGAUAUACUAAACACGCACAAGGCCUUUCUCAAGGAUCACCGCUACGAUCCCUUUGAAAUAUACGGUACAGAUCAGUUCAUGGAUGACUUAAAGGAUAUACCCGAUCCGAAACUGGACCCACUAUAUGUGAUGGACGCCCUACUCGUUGUGCUGCACGAAAUGGGCCCCUGGUGCACGCAACGUGCCGCUCACCAUUUUCACCAGCGCAAUGAAAAGCUGAAAGUUAAAACGCCACACGAACGCCACUAUUUGCUCUUUUGUAUGGUUAACACCGCGCUAAUGCAGGUGCAUGCGCUAUGCGAACAUACCUUUCAGAAGCACGCGUGCGACGAUCCCAGAGAGACAAUAGAGAACUUUUCCAGCCCCAAAGUACGCCGCCUGUUGCAGGUGCUGCGCUGCUUUAAGCCAGAUGAAGUGCACACACAAAGUGAGAAUCUGCGCAAAAUGUGCAAUCAGGUGGAGAGGGUCGAGUUCAAUAGACUGGCAUAUGCCCUGGAAUCGCAGUGUCAAAUUGUGGAGCAACCGGAGCGGCAGCAAUUGGACGCGAAUGCAGUAAUAAACAACCUGCAGGAACUGUUGCAUCCAACGAAUAAGUUAAAAGAGCAGCGAAAAUAUGUAACCCAACCACAGCCACAACCACAUCACCAGACAAAGUCGGAGCGAACAAAAUCCAACCCCCAGCAAAGGACACGGCGGCGCGUAUACACUCGUCGUCACAACCGUGACCAAAACGAUGCCAACGAUACGCUGUGUGCGCUAAUCUAUUGCAGCCAGAACCACACGGCACGCGUCCUGUUCGAGCUGCUGGCGGAGAUGAGUCGACGUGAUCCCAAUUUAAAGUUCCUGCGCUGCCAAUACACCACAGAUCGAGUGGCCGACCCGACCACCGAGCCCAAAGAGGCUGAGUCCGAGCAUCGUCGGCAAGAGGAGGUGCUCAAACGCUUUCGCAUGCACGACUGCAACGUACUGAUUGGAACGUCUGUGCUAGAGGAAGGCAUUGAUGUGCCUAAGUGCAAUUUGGUAGUGCGCUGGGACGCGCCCACCACCUAUCGGAGCUAUGUGCAGUGUAAAGGACGAGCACGCGCAGCUCCCGCCUAUCAUAUCAUGCUCGUAUCCCCGAGCUAUAUGCCACCAAAAUGCGACGCAGUGCAGCUCAGCCAGCAAACCCAUCGUUUCAUUUGUGCAGUGGAGGAGAUCGACCCGACUAAGGGAGAGGAAGUGGAGAGCGAUUCGGACGACUCGGCGUUGCCAAGCUCGUCAAGCACCGAUCUCUACACAUUCGGUACGGCACGUGGUACUGUUAAAAUACUCAAUCCUGAAGUUUUUAGCAAUCAGCCGCCCACAACAUGCGAUAUCAAACUACAGGAGAUAUCAGAUGAAGCGCCAGCAAAAGACAUAGUGGACAAUAAUUUCGUCGACGAGGCCGUGAGUUUCUUUAGCGACGAGACAGCUGAGGUCCCAAACAACAGUGAUACUGGACCAGAGAAGCAGAAAGUACGCUUUCAAUGUGAACUGGACGUCUCCGAAUCCUGCCCAGAUCUGCAAACAAGCUCUGUCUGUAAACUGGAAAGCACUACAAAAGCAUUGGUGCACCAAAUGGCACAGUACCGCGAGAUCGAACAGAUGCUGCUGUCCAAGUGCGCCAAUGCCGAGCCCCCGGAGGUGGAGCAAUAUAUGGCGGAACGCUUUACCAGUUGUCUUGCAUCUUAUCGUCCACAGCCGCAGCUACUAGCUGGUGCCAGCGUUGAUCUGAGCACUGCCAUAUCGCUGGUCAACAAGUACUGUUCAAAGCUGCCGAGCGACACGUUCACAAAGCUAACACCCCUAUGGCGCUGUGCUCAAACUGAACGCCAAGGAGUUUCCCUCUUCCAGUAUACAUUGCGCCUGCCCAUUAAUUCGCCGCUGAAACGUGACAUUGUGGGUCUACCCAUGCCUACACAAACCUUGGCACGUAGAUUGGCGGCUUUGCAGGCAUGCAUCGAGUUGCACAAAAUGGGCGAAUUGGACGAUCAACUGCAGCCCAUUGGCAAGGAGGGGUUUCGCGCACUCGAGGCGGACUGGGAGUUUGAACUGGAGCCGGACGACGAGCAGGCAGACGAACCACGACCGGGCACUACGAAACGACGGCAAUAUUACUACAAGCGCAUUGCCUCCGAGUUCUGCAAUUGUCGACCCGUAGCCGGUGUGCCCUGCUACCUCUACUUCAUCGAGCUAUCGCUGCAGUGUCCAAUACCAGAGGAGCAGAACACUCGAGGGCGGCGCAUCUAUCCUCCGGAGGAAGCACUGCAGGGAUUUGGAAUACUGACACUCAAGCGUAUUCCCAAGUUAAGCGCCUUCUCCAUAUUUACGCGCUCCGGCGAAGUGCGAGUGUCACUUAGGCUGGCCAAUGAAAGAAUUGUGCUUACUUCCUCGCAAAUCGGCUGCAUUAACAGUUUUCUUAACUACACGUUUACGAAUGUGCUCCGCCUUCAAAAGUUUCUGAUGCUCUUCGAUCCCGAUUCAACCGAGAAUUGUGUCUUUAUAGUCCCAACCACAAAAAUGGGAGACGAUAAAAUAAUAGACUGGACAUUCCUCGAGCUUAUACAGGCUAAUGCCAAUAUGAUGCCGCAAGCUGUGCCGGAAGAGUUUCGAAAGUCGCAGCCGUUUGAUGCAAAUCGAUUCAAGGAUGCUGUUGUUAUGCCGUGGUACCGCAAUCAAGACCAACCGCAAUACUUUUAUGUGGCCGAGAUCUGUCCACAGCUGUCGCCGCUUAGCUGUUUUCCUGGGGACAACUAUCGCACUUUCAAGCACUACUAUACGGUCAAAUACGGCCUGAACAUACAAAAUUGUAGCCAGCCACUGCUCGAUGUGGAUCAUACAAGUGCACGUUUGAAUUUCUUGACGCCACGCUAUGUUAAUCGUAAGGGUGUGGCACUGCCUACUAGCUCAGAGGAGACUAAGCGAGCCAAGCGCGAAAACUUGGAGCAGAAGCAAAUUUUGGUCCCUGAGCUCUGCACUGUGCAUCCUUUUCCGGCGUCGCUUUGGCGCACCGCCGUCUGUCUGCCAUGCAUACUAUACCGCAUCAAUGGAUUGCUGUUGGCCGAUGAUAUUCGCAAGCAAGUGUCGAGCGACUUAGGAUUGGGCCGGCAGCAAAUCGACGAGCCAGAGUUUGAGUGGCCGAUGUUAGACUUUGGUUGGAGUUUGUCAGAAGUGUUAAAGAAAUCUCGCGAGUCCAAGCAGAAAAUAACAACCAACAGCAAUUCCAAUGAAGUUGUCACCAACGGUGUAGACUUUGUUGCAGCAGAGGAGGCUACCAAAAAAGAGGAUGUUGAAGGUGAAGCUAAAAAGAUCUCAAAGACAGCCAAUGAGCUUAUCAUUGAGGGCGAGCAGCAGUUGAAUGACGAAGAGGACUUCAUUGAGAUUGGCACAUGGUCAAAUGACAUGGCAGACGAUAUUACAACAUUUACGGAACAGGAUGAAGAUGACGAAUCUUUCGUUCCUGUACUACCCGCCAACGUUAAGUUAUGCGACCAACAAAUGCGGUACGGUUCUCCAACAUUCUUGGAUGUAAGCAACAGUAAAAAUUUCAAGAAUAAAGAGAACUCACAGCCGCACAGCAAACAAAAAGGCACUCCGAACAAGCCCUGCUAUUACUACUACGACUCCGACAACUCUCUAGGAUCCAGCUACGACGACGAUGAGCACGUACUGCAAAACAUGCAAAACAAUUACAGCUCCGCCGAAGAUGACGUUGACGAUGAUAUAGAUGCCGGCCGUAUAGCUUUUACGUCGAAAAACGAAGCGGAGACUAUUGAGACGGCGCAGGAAAUGGAGAAGCGUCAAAAGCAGCUGUCCAUUAUUCAGGCGACAAAUGCAAAUGAACGUCAGUACCAGGAGACGAAAAAUCUUCUUGUCGGCUUCAAUUUCAAGGAGGAAAACUGUCACAGCGAUCCCUCUGAUAAAGCCAACUCAACCUACGAACAGUCGAUAAUCAGUCUCAAAGAUCACAUUGAAAGCUGCGGCAUGUUGGUUCGGCAUGAUCAGGAACUAGUUAUAAGAAGAAGUCAAAAUGCAGCUGCGGUUCCAAGCAAGCCGACGUCACAUUUGGAGCUUAUCAAGCAAUUCGUACCCUACGUGCCGGAGGAAGAACUGCUUCAAAAACUAGGUACCAGCAGCAAGUUUCAACUGGCCGAUCUAGCACUCCUGAAUGCGGAGUACGUAAGGAAGCACCCCGACGAAUCCUACCGUGUUUUAGGGUGCGGGGACAGCUUUGAUAAUUACAAUGACCAUCAUAGACUAGAACUGAGGGACAAACUGCUAAGACUGCAAUUUGAACGUACUGCACAGAAGGAUCAGACGAUGCCGCCUGAUAAUCAUUCUGAAUUAGUGCCACCGAUGACAGUUUUGCCAGCCAGCGGUUUCAGUUUUGAUCGGCAGCCAGAACUCGCUGGCCAUCCAGGUCCAAGUCCAAGCAUAAUUCUACAAGCCCUCACCAUGUCAAAUGCCAACGAUGGCAUCAACUUGGAGAGGCUGGAAACCAUCGGCGACUCCUUUCUGAAAUAUGCCAUUACCACCUACCUUUAUAUCACCUAUGAUAAUGUGCAUGAGGGCAAGCUUAGUCACUUGCGCUCGAAGCAAGUCGCCAAUUUGAAUCUCUACCGCUUGGGCAGAAGAAAAAGGCUGGGCGAGUAUAUGAUAGCAACUAAGUUUGAGCCGCACGAUAAUUGGCUACCACCCUGCUACUAUGUGCCAAAGGAAUUGGAAAAGGCCCUGAUAGAAGCCAAAAUACCGACGCACCACUGGAAACUUGUCGAUCUGUUGGAUAUUAAAAAUAUGAGCAGCUCACAGAUUUGCACCUUGGUGCGGGAAAAAGCAGAAGCAAUGGGUCUGGUUGGCAAUUCAGAUGAGCAGAAUAAUCCAAACGCAGAUCCGCAGACAGUGAUACCCAACGGCAAUCUAGAUGACUCCAACGGGAGCAACGACUUCAGCUGCUUUAUUCCAUACAACUUGGUCUCACAGCACAGCAUACCCGACAAGUCAAUUGCUGAUUGUGUCGAGGCGCUUAUUGGAGCCUACUUGAUCGAGUGCGGUCCUCGAGGUGCCCUCCUCUUCAUGGCCUGGCUAGGCGUGCGGGUGCUGCCCUAUAGCAAGCAGCCAGCCUCGGAGCCACGGAUACCAGGCAGCACGCAGCCGGAUAGCGAUGGCCUGGUCACCAUUUAUGGCGCUUGGCCCACACCACGUAGUCCGCUUCUCCAUUUCACGUCAAACGCGCACAGAGAAAUGGAGCACCUGCUCAGCGGCUUCGAAGAGUUUGAGGCGAAGCUGGGCUAUAGGUUCCGCGAUCGAUCCUACCUACUGCAGGCUAUGACGCAUGCAAGUUACACCCCUAAUCGUCUCACAGACUGCUAUCAGCGUCUUGAGUUUCUGGGGGAUGCGGUGUUGGAUUAUCUGAUAACGCGACACCUGUACGAGGAUCCACGACAGCAUUCGCCGGGUGCGUUAACCGACCUGCGUUCUGCCCUGGUGAACAACACAAUAUUUGCUUCAUUGGCUGUGCGGCAUGGCUUUCACAAGUACUUCCGACACUUAUCACCUGGCCUGAACGACGUGAUCGAUCGGUUUGUGCGCAUACAACAGGAAAACGAUCAUAGUAUCAGCGAAGAGUACUACCUGCUGUCCGAGGAGGAAUGUGACGAUGCCGAGGACGUUGAGGUGCCUAAGGCCUUGGGCGACGUUUUCGAGAGCAUUGCCGGUGCAAUAUUUCUCGAUAGUAACAUGUCGCUGGAUGUUGUGUGGCAAGUUUACAGUAAUAUGAUGAAGCCGGAGAUCGAACAAUUUAGCAAUUCCGUUCCAAAAUCACCCAUACGCGAGCUGCUCGAAUUGGAACCGGAAACAGCCAAAUUCGGCAAGCCGGAGAAGCUCGCCGACGGGCGUCGUGUGCGUGUGACCGUCGAUGUCUUCUGCAAGGGGACGUUCCGUGGCAUUGGACGCAACUAUCGCAUAGCCAAGUGCACGGCGGCGAAGUGCGCCCUGCGGCAAUUAAAGAAGCAGAACUUGAUUUCGAAGAAGAACUAGGCAGCAAAUGUGUUGUGUUGCCAACAGUCCGAUAUAGUUUAUUAAUUUAAAACACGAAAAAUGCAAUAAUUGAUUUUAAAAUGUAACGGCUACCUUGUAUUAUUUAUCGGCUUUCUAAUUUGCCAUUCACACGGAUUUACACUUUCGUGGAAGUACGUGCACAAACAUUUAAACAUACAAAUGAAGAAGCAAAUGUUCAUGGCGUAGGAUC